UGAAUUGACGGGGGCCCGCACAAGCGGUGGAGCAUGUGGUUUAAUUCGAUGCAACGCGAAGAACCUUACCUGGUCUUGACAUAUCUAGAAUCCUGCAGAGAUGCGGGAGUGCCUUCGGGAAUUAGAAUACAGGUGCUGCAUGGCUGUCGUCAGCUCGUGUCGUGAGAUGUUGGGUUAAGUCCCGCAACGAGCGCAACCCUUGUCCUUAGUUACCAGCGGUUUGGCCGGGAACUCUAAGGAUACUGCCAGUGACAAACUGGAGGAAGGCGGGGACGACGUCAAGUCAUCAUGGCCCUUACGACCAGGGCUACACACGUGCUACAAUGGUAGGUACAGAGGGCAGCUACACAGCGAUGUGAUGCGAAUCUCAAAAAGCCUAUCGUAGUCCAGAUUGGAGUCUGCAACUCGACUCCAUGAAGUAGGAAUCGCUAGUAAUCGCGGAUCAGAAUGCCGCGGUGAAUACGUUCCCGGGCCUUGUACACACCGCCCGUCACACCAUGGGAGUUGAUUGCACCAGAAGUGGGUAGCCUAACCUUUUAGGAUGGCGCUCACCACGGUGUGGUUGAUGACUGGGGUGAAGUCGUAACAAGGUAACCGUA
rnacentral:rRNA from 1 species